CAGGAGCCGUAGGCUCACCACUGCCACCAUUUUAUUGGGCAGAGGUUCCUUGACCAAUUUUUCAAGUGAUCACUGACAACUGCGAUACAACAGAAUUUAAGCUCACCAUCAACAGGUUUGCCACCACAUAAAAACCUUUUUUGCCAGAAAUACUAUGAACACUGUUAUUGUACCUUUUAGAGGGAACAGACUCCAAGAGAGUAUGGCAGUUAAACUAUAAUCUGAAGAAUUUAACUGCCAUAAUUGGAGAGAGACUGAGUACAGAGAGACUAAGUGUGUUACCUGUCAAGGAGAAAUAGUCUUAAGAGACAUUUCCUGGAACUUGAAUCUAACUCAUCCUGUGGAGAAAAUAUCCUAAAAAGAAUUCCUGAGAAACUUUGACUGCCACUCGGAGAGUAUGAGUGUUGGAAUGAGUCAGCAGCUGCAGCUUAUAGUUAGAGAAAGUAUUCACAUGAUAUAGAUAUGAGGAUUCUGUGGAGUCUUAGGAAUAUUCUGAAGAUCACCCAGCAAGAAAAGGCACCAGUGCCUCUAAGGUCCUUUCUCGAGCUGAACUGCCAAGCAUUCAAACUCUACUGCAGAGAGCACAACUCUGAGGGGCUGGCCAUGCUACUGGAAUGUCAAAUGUAUGCUUGCCUAAAACACUAUUUUACAGAGAACUCACACAAGGCAAGUGCUCACAUGGGGUCAGAAGAAGCAAUACAAGGAUACUCUCAAGGUCUCUCUGAAGAACUUUGGUAUGGAUUGUGAGACCUGAGAGACACUGGCAUGGGACUGUACAGCAUGAUGUGUCUACUUUAGAGAAGAAUCCUACAAUCUCUAAUAUAGAAGAUAAAAGGCAACUUACUAACUGGAGAUAGCUGCAGUUUACAUACCAACACCUAUUGGAAAGGAUGGAAAAGAAAGAUCUUUAACAAAGAACCUGACAUGAUUAUCCAAACCAAACAAUUUGACAAUACCCACUACAGUGUCAAUAGGUAUCUUGAUACUCAAAAGAUAUAAAGGAGCAGGAUGAAAACUAUGUUGGGAAGCAGACUUCAAGAUUAAGAAAUGAAAAAGACUUAAAAACUAAAAGUCUAUGUAUCAUGAAUAAUUCCCUGAAGAAGAAAGUUGGAAGGCAUUGGAUAUGGGAAACAAUGACCAAAACAUUAAAAAUAAAAGCUCUUAUCUUGACAAAGAGGAAAUGACUGGUUACAAAGGUUGGAAUCAUUUCAGAAUCAGCUGCCUGUGGGCAGUCAGCCUGAAAUGUUAGAACAAAGGUCAAAGUAAAUACCAGUUAGAAGAAAGCCUGAAAUGAGAAGACUGUUUGAAAAUGCUGCAAGUUCCACCCAGCUUGUUUACACAAGCAGUCAAGUUUAAAAAAAACAAACAAAAAAAUCCCACCCCAAAACAAAAGUGGACAAAAAUUUUUAAAAACUGACUAGCACCAUUUAAAAAAAAGUUUUACACUGAUGUAACACAAUCAUAAUAAAGGGCCUGGAAACCACUUUAGUCAGCACCUGUGAGAUAUAUACCAGAGAGAUAAUAGCUACAAAAGGCAAGGCUGGAUUAUAAAUUCUUUUGCAAAACAUUAUACUGGAAAAUUACAGGAAUUUAUUAGCAGCAUUGCCUCACAAAACAGGGAAAAGCUGUUAAGGAGAAAACAAAUCUAUAGAAUACCUAGUAAGAAAUCUAGCCAGCCAGGUAGAUCGUCCUGAGAACAUGUGUAGACAGAACUAGAACAACAACAGGCUGAAAAUGGAAACGGAUCCGCUGGCAUAUCUAGAGUGUUUGAUUGCUCUGUCAGUGACAACAAUAGAACUACCAUAUUUUAGGGGGUUUCCCUACCUUACUGUACCAUGUGAUGAUGAAGAUGAAGCUAGGAAUUGUCAAUUUUUAUUUUUAAAUAUUUCUUACAUUUACAUCACCUUCAUUUCU